UACGAAGGGGGCUAGCGUUGUUCGGAAUUACUGGGCGUAAAGCGCACGCAGGCGGUCCGUUAAAUAAGGAGUGAAAGCCCUGGGCUCAACCCGGGAAUUGCUCUUUAGACUGGCGGACUUGAAUCCGGAAGAGGGCAGUGGAAUUCCCAGUGUAGAGGUGAAAUUCGUAGAUAUUGGGAAGAACACCAGUGGCGAAGGCG
rnacentral:rRNA from 1 species